UAACAAAAUUUAUGAGAAAAUACCUAUUUCCAAUGAAGAGAAAGUAUCCAUCUCCAAAUGCUGCUUUUACAAAGGCAGAGAAAAAGCGCACACUGAAAAUCU
rfam:Ornithorhynchus anatinus Cont36836.1, whole genome shotgun sequence.